rnacentral:rRNA from 1 species
UGCAAGUCGAGCGCCCCGCAAGGGGAGCGGCAGACGGGUGAGUAACGCGUGGGAACGUACCUUUUGCUACGGAAUAACUCAGGGAAACUUGUGCUAAUACCGUAUGUGCCCUUCGGGGGAAAGAUUUAUCGGCAAAGGAUCGGCCCGCGUUGGAUUAGCUAGUUGGUGAGGUAAAGGCUCACCAAGGCGACGAUCCAUAGCUGGUCUGAGAGGAUGAUCAGCCACACUGGGACUGAGACACGGCCCAGACUCCUACGGGAGGCAGCAGUGGGGAAUAUUGGACAAUGGGCGCAAGCCUGAUCCAGCCAUGCCGCGUGAGUGAUGAAGGCCCUAGGGUUGUAAAGCUCUUUCACCGGUGAAGAUAAUGACGGUAACCGGAGAAGAAGCCCCGGCUAACUUCGUGCCAGCAGCCGCGGUAAUACGAAGGGGGCUAGCGUUGUUCGGAUUUACUGGGCGUAAAGCGCACGUAGGCGGACUUUUAAGUCAGGGGUGAAAUCCCGGGGCUCAACCCCGGAACUGCCUUUGAUACUGGAAGUCUUGAGUAUGGUAGAGGUGAGUGGAAUUCCGAGUGU